rnacentral:tRNA from 8 species
GGGUGCGUAGCUCAGCUGGAUAGAGCAUCUGCCUUCUAAGCAGACGGUCACAGGUUCGAAUCCUGUCGCGCUCACAA